UGCUCACGAGCCGCGGCACGCCACGCAUAGGGCCACGCCGUUGCAUCCACGAUAAGCUCACUUGCGUGUGCACGCCCCUGCGUGCACACCGAGGGCGAGUGCGGAACCCUAUCGGCCUGCCCCUUUCUCCCCUGGUUCACCUGCAGCGGUGCACGAAACAAAACGAGCACGAGACACCACGCACAGCUGCAACCACCCAUCCACUACACACACACACACAUUUCUCUUCCAAUAUAUAUAUUAUGGAGUGUGAUGAAGAAGCGUCGCGACUGCAGCGCAAAAGGGUGGCGGCGCAUCAGCGGCAGGAGAUGCAUGCCGCGUGGAAGCGCACUUUCUUUCAGGCGAGGCCGCCGCCGCCUUCGAUUGGUCGACUGCACCGACGCCAGCAGGGAAUCACCAAAGGCCACUCGUGCUACAAUGCCUUCAAUACCGCACUGGCGCUGGCGAAGCAGGCGGAUGAGGACGAGCCCACUCGUGAUGCCAAGGUAGAAGCCCCGCUGCCAUCUUCGCCAACACUCACGACAAGUGCAACAGCGACUGCGGCUGGCACAUUGUCGAAGCAGGAGGCGUGGGCGGCCCAGCUGCAGGGCGAGAAUGAGCGGCGCAACCCUUUCACGGACCUCAACGUCCGCUCAGACCCCUUGCGCACUGUUGUCAUGGCCAACUUGCAUCCCGAGACGGUCGAGGAGGACUUGCGUCACUUUUCGGAUCAGUUCGGCCGCGUGCUGAGCGUGCGCAUUGUGCGCCACUACAAGACCGGCAAGAGUCGUCGUUACGCCUUUGUGGAGUUCAACCUCGUCGGGGAGGCCCGCAAAGCCGUCCAGUUUCACCGCAAGAAGCGACUGAAGGGCUACUCGAUCAUCAUCGACUGGGAGAAGGGCCGCACUGAGCCGGGCUUUCUGCCGAAGCGACUUUUGGCCGCCUCAUCCUUUUGGACCCCCCCUGCGAAUGAGGCGGGCUCUGCGACCUCAACCGAGAUAGAGCAGGCGAAAAAUGUGGAUACUGCGGCGCUGGGCACCGAGGGCGCCAAGGUGGCGCCCUCGAUGCCAGAGAAUGAUGAUGACUUCCUCAACGCCAUUUUGAACAGCUGAGCAAUGCAGCCCCACUUGCGGAGACUUUGGAGAGGUGGGAACCAAACACGCAGUGCCGCGUGCGAGUGUGCGGGGGUGCUUCAUGGGCCCUCUUUUCCACUCGUCGAGCUGCGUCUUGACGUGGUUGUUCUUGUGUUCGCGGUUUCUCUAUCUCCAUGUGCUCCCCAUCUAAGCACACUAAACCACCUUGUAAAGGUGAGAAGGGAAGCGACGCUUCGAACCACCCAGGGCUGCCCAUUUUCAUGGAGGCUGGCGCACGGGUGACUACACAGCGUCUGGCAAGGGGCUCGAGGGAGGGAGAGUGUGGAUACGUCGCCUCUAAGCGCGUUUUCCAGAGAUGUGGUGUGGCUGUAUCUCUCGUACGGAAGCCGCUCUUCUUCCGUUUAUCGUCGUGCAUCUGUGCCGGUGCCUGCGAGGGCGGGUGGAGGGGAGAGAAGGGCACUGUCGCCGUCUGACCCUCCUCUCUCUUGUACCGCUGCUCAUGCGGAAGCCUUCACCCUGCUCGAGCCAGCGAUUAUUCUAGUAAGGAUCGCCCGCAUGAGCGCACAGAGGCCUACGCAGCCCACUCUCGCAUGCACACGCGCGCCCCCUUUAGCUUUCCUUCUUCACCUCUGCCAUUCACCGCCUGCCUCUCUCUCUCCUGCGUUGCACGCACGUGCGUUCUCUUUGAUUUUGCCGCCGCUUCGGGUGCUGCCUUGAUUCUCUUGGUGAUCGGCCUUGCUCGUGCCCCCUACCCCUCUUCCACUUUCGUGACACAG
rnacentral:misc_RNA from 1 species